AUGAAGCACCGCCGGCGGUCGAAGCAGCAGAAGCUCGACUCCGUGCCUCCCCCUGCGUCCCCGGCCGCCCGCGCUCCACGCCCCAUGCCAAGCCCGAGCGCCAGCCCCAAAAGCCCCGCCCUCGCCACUCCUCCGCCGGAGCAGGCGCCGGAAGUGGUAGUCCCCGAGGACUGGGCCAUGGCCACCGACGUCAUCUCCUCCGACCUCUCGUCUCCGGUUGUCCUCGUGUGCGGCCCCUCCAACAGCGGCAAGUCGACCUUCACCCGCCUCCUCCUCAACAAGCUGCUCCCCAGCUAUGGGAGGGUCGGGUAUCUGGACACCGACGUGGGGCAGCCGGAGUUCUCGCCGCCGGGGUGUCUCUCUCUGCACAUCGUCGAUGAAGCUAUCACAGAUAUGCAGAACCCGGUUCUGCGGGAGGCAGAAAGGUGCUGCUUCUACGGCGAUAUAUCUUCAAAAGGGGAUCCAGAAUCAUAUCUGAACUCUUUAUUUCUCUUGUAUAACUACUUCGUUGAAAAAUAUCGUUGUCCUGGGGGUGAAGUGCUUCCUUUGAUUGUCAACACUCCUGGAUGGGUGAAAGGUACUGGUUUUGAUAUGCUUGUAGAGAUGCUAAGGUAUAUCUGUCCCACAAUUGUUGUUCCGAUACGCACCAGAAUGCAGAGAAAGAAUCUCCCUGAUGGAAUGUUUUGGUUAACCGGUGGGGAAACAGAACCUAAAGUGAUUACAAUUGAUGCUGCAAGUCGUGAUUCCUUGUCAAAAUCAUCGUUAAAGCGGAAAGAUGGGGGUGGAAUGCGUGAACGGCGGCUUGUGGAGUACUUUAAACAAUGUUUUUCAAGUGACAUAUCACUAGCAACAAACAAAGAGCUUGCUUAUGCCCUAGCGUCUCUGCCACCCUAUGAAGUAUCAUUUUCAGAUGUUACAGUUAUGCAUCUUCAUUGCGAGGUACCCCGUACUGAGAUAUGGCAUAGUCUGAAUGCAACCAUAGUUGGCUUGGCAAAUAGUUGUGACACACCUGCGACAGCCCAUGCAAUUCCUUGGUGUGUUGGGCUUGGUAUUGUCAGAGGCGUCGAUGUGCAAAGGGGCCUGUUAUAUGUUAUCACUCCUGUUGCUGUUGAACAUCUUCAAAGCGUAGAUUUGCUGCUGCAGGGUCUCAUUGAGAUUCCGAGAUCUGUUCUACAGGUCAAGGGAUGCGAGUCGCCGUACAUGUCCACCAAUGUGCGGGACAAGAUAACGGGGAAGGAUCUGUACGCGAGUAAUCUCAACAGCCCACUGUCCAGACAGGAUGACGGCGAUUCCGAUUCGGAUGCAGAUACUAUGUAA
rnacentral:rRNA from 1 species